GAUGAAGAACGAAGCGAAAUGCGAUACGUAAUGUGAAUUGCAAAUUCAGUGAAUCAUCGAGUCUUUGAACGCACAUUGCGCCCCCUGGUAUUCCGGGGGGCAUGCCUGUCCGAGCGUCAUUGCUGCCCUCAAGCACGGCUUGUGUGUUGGGCCCCGUCCUCCGAUCCCGGGGGACGGGCCCGAAAGGCAGCGGCGGCACCGCGUCCGGUCCUCGAGCGUAUGGGGCUUUGUCACCCGCUCUGUAGGCCCGGCCGGCGCUUGCCGAUCAACCCAAAUUUUUAUCCAGGUUGACCUCGGAUCAGGUAGGGAUACCCGCUGAACUUAAGCAUAUCAAUAAGCGGAGGA
rnacentral:misc_RNA from 1 species